UGGGGUCUAAUGUUAAGCUAUUUUAAACUUUCAGGCCGUCUAUUGAGUUCCUAAAGGGAUUUCUAUUGUGUUUAACCCUAAACUCAGAAUAUUCAAAUACACAUUUGUUUAUUUUCAGGUUUUCUUCCCAAAUUUUUAAAUUUCAACUGGUUAUUGCUCUCUCUCCGUUUUGAUUUUUUGCUUGGUUAGUCGCCCAGAGAGUUGCCGUUAACGACACCGCCAGCACUAAAAUGUUCAGCUCGUCAUUUUCGAUCUGCUGGUGGUGGUGCCUCCUUCACCGUCAUCGUCGGUUGCAAGAUAGGCUGGGAAAAGCGUUUGGGUUUCGUAAAUACAUCAUCACUGCCGCUCACUGUCGUGAACUUACACCGUUCCUCUACGAGGGUAACAUCUUCGUCCUGUUUCUACAUGGAAUCCUCUACGGAUGGCAUAAUCCCCCUUAUGUUUCUGUAUGGGAUCCUCUAAGGAUGAAAAAAUCUCCAUCAUGUUUCUGUUUGGGAUCUAUUCGGAGGGUUAUAUUCCCAUUCUGAUUUUUGAUUUCUGUUUCUGUUGGGAUCCUCUAUGGAGGACGAUAUCCACAUCCUAUUUCUAAUAGGGAUCCUAUAUGGAGGGUUAUAUCCUCAUCCUAAUUUUUGUAUUCUAUUUCGGGUACCUCUUCGGAGGGUAAUGUCCUUAUCCUGUUAUUCUCGACGAAACGUAAGGUUGUGUGAAUUUCCUGUUAUAAUACUUUGGUACUGGUUAGUUAUUUUACUAUUGCUUGAAUUUAAAGUUGCAUCUUUAUG